rnacentral:rRNA from 1 species
UUUUGACUAGUUGCUUUGUAACUACCAGCCCAUCUAUGAAAAAGACCAUUAGAAUUCGUCUGAAAUUUUUAUUUAUAAUAAUAAACAACUUUUGACAACGGAUCUCUUGGCUCUCGCAACGAUGAAGAACGCAGCGAAAUGCGAUACGUAAUGUGAAUUGCUUUCCGUGAAUCAUCAAAUCUUUGAACGCACAUUGCGCUUCUUUACAGAAGCAUGCUUGUUUGAGAAUCUAUAGUAUCAAUUCUACCACGGGUUACUCCUGAAGUAGAGAUCUGACUUUCCCAGCUCCUAGGAACUGGGUCUGUUUAAAUUGAUUGCCCCUAUCUAGAGUAGACUAAGGCAAGAAACGUAUGUGUAUCUCCUCUUACGAGAAGUCACUAUGCUUAUUACUGCUCUGCUCUUAGGGAUUCAUAACCUAUAAGAAUAGUAUUCUUCGGAAUCUAGUCUUGAACCAUGGUCUCAAAUCAAGUAGGAAGACCCGCUGAACUUAA